GGAUCAGUCCGGAGUUCUCCUCUGGG
rnacentral:piRNA from 1 species